CGCUAAUUUAAAACUUACGAUUAUGUCAAAUGCUAACAGUGAAUCAUUCUCCCAAAAUAAAUGAAAUUUCUUUUUCUGUUUCCAGAUUCAAACUCUUUUUUCUUUCGCCUUGCAACAUUAACUUCACUUGUUUUCUCUCUUCAAAUAAUUCCUUUUUCCACGUCUCUUUUUUCUUGAAAUUGCUCUGCUGGGAGCAAGCCAUUGGAGAAUAAAAACUUUGGACGAGGAAAGAAAAUAUCGAGAAUGAGAGACUAGAGCAACUUUGGACAGAGAAACAAAAAUAUAUAGAGAAGGUACAGCAAUACUGAGGGGCAAUUUGGGCAGAGGAAGAGAAUGAGG
rnacentral:lncRNA from 1 species